AACGCUGGCGGCGUGCCUAAUACAUGCAAGUCGAACGGUCUUUCUAUGGAAGGCUUGCUCCACUGAGAAGAUAGUGGCGGACGGGUGAGUAACACGUGGGUAACCUGCCCAUAAGAGGGGGAUAACAUCCGGAAACGGGUGCUAAUACCGCAUAGUUUUUCUUGAUCGCAUGAUUGAGAAAGGAAAGACGGCCUUUGUGCUGUCGCUUAUGGAUGGACCCGCGGCGUAUUAGUUAGUUGGUGAGGUAAUGGCUCACCAAGACGAUGAUACGUAGCCGACCUGAGAGGGUGAUCGGCCACAUUGGGACUGAGACACGGCCCAAACUCCUACGGGAGGCAGCAGUAGGGAAUCUUCCGCAAUGGACGAAAGUCUGACGGAGCAACGCCGCGUGAGUGAAGGUAAAAGGGUUUUCGGAUCGUAAAACUCUGUUGUCAGAGAAGAACAAGUUGGAGAGUAACUGCUCCAGCCUUGACGGUAUCUGACCAGAAAGCCACGGCUAACUACGUGCCAGCCGCCGC
rnacentral:rRNA from 1 species